UAGGAGGGGGAACUCUGCCAGCAACCCCAGGAAUAAGGAAGGGAAAGAAAAUGCCUGAGGAGAAGGAGGAGUCAGACUGUGGUGAUACCACAAUAAGGCCCCUCAGCCAGCUAACCAGGGAGCGCUGAAGCCAGAGUACUUUCAGAACUGUCUCAAGUUAGGCCCAAAUGAACAGACCCCCUAGACUCAGACUUUGAGCAGUUUUUGAGUUUGGGCCAUCUGAGAGACUGAUCUUAAGUCAAAUGUAUCCCAUUAGCUGAGAUAUUCAUGGAGAGCUGGAAGGGAACAAAUGAGGACUAUAUGCCACAUGCACUCUCUAGGAAGCUGUGAUCCAAAAAGGCAUCUAGAUGGUGGGUCACGGUGGUCACAAAGUCUAGUUUGAUCACAGCUGAAUCUCAGUUCAAACACAAAGUCUGACUUCUGACAUGAAGGACAUUCUGAUUUGUCUCUUGAAUCUUGCCUAUCUGUAGAAUUUGUCCUUGUUUGAUUCAGCUGGUUGUCAUCAAAGCUAGAAGCCCAUACUGAGUUCCUCCAGAACAGUGCUAACAAGAAUAUUGAGUUUAUCCCAUGUAGACUGGAUGUUUACUGUGUUAGGACCCUUCAUGUAUUACUUCAUGAGCUCAAACAAAUUCUAUGACAGAGAUGACUUAGCAUGCCAAAAUUGAAGAAGCUAAGAGAACAAAGUCUGUGAGACUACCUACCCUAAGUGCUUCCUUUUCUGACACUCAGGGAGUUGGGUGGUUCAGAGAUGGUAAGCCACAUGCAUGGCCCAUGGGUAAUUGAGAGUAUAUGACUGGGGUAGCUCUAUAGGGAAAUAGGAGAGCCUCUGUAGUGCUACUCUGGGCUGCUAUUGCUUAUGAAAACUAAGGAAUUCCUUUCAGCCUCUUGUGGAAAGUUUUACUUUCCAUUAGAAAUUGAAUAGUUUUGACCAGUUUCAAACUUUGAUGAGGCCUCAAGGUAACAGAAAAAAAGAAGCCCACUGUAUUUUGCAGGGUGUAAGGGGCUACUUUUCUCCCUUCUAGAAAACUCCAUUCACUCUUAAUGUGUCAUUUAGCUUUUCUAGAGUGACUCCACAAAUAAUGUGAGAAUUCCCUUCUCCCUGUGUCCCUUUACUCCUGUGUUUUCCUGCAUUUGCUUUCUCUGCAGAGAUGAGGGAGCAGAGCACUUGGCUGAUGGUGUUUAUUCCUGACAUUUUCUCUUCCUGGCCACAGGUCCUGAUUCAGGAGAACUAUGGGCUUAGGGAUGAUGAAAAACAUCAAGGACAUCCUCAAAGAGAAGAUUACGUGAAGCAAUUGUCACUGCUUUGACUCAACAGGAACUUUGAAGACAGCAUUCUUCUUCUGAAAAUGGAUGCUCAUUCUCUAGUCAUCUGGAAACCAUUUCUCAUUCAAGUAGUUGCCUUUAGGACCCACCAGUAGAUCUUUGGCUGGAGCUCAUCAACUUCAAAUGAGAAGUAACACUUUCCAUAAGGAGCUCCCUGGCUCACACUCUUCCAGCCCAGAAGCCUCAGGUUUCGCUGGACAGUUGUACCAUCAGAGACCUUCAGUUGCUCAGGCUGCUAGGCCAAUUGACAUCAGCACCAGGGUCAACAAUGAUCAAGGGAAGCAAGGUGAGAGUCUCUAUCUCUAUCUCUGGGCCAUCUUUUAAAACAUCACAAAAGAAACAUUGAGCAGAAGGCCUUAAGAUCAAAA